UUCUGCACUCUGUGCUCUUUCUCCUCUCUCUCAGUUCUGCACUCUGUGCUCUUUCACUCCUCUCUCAGUUCUGCACGCUGUGUUCUUGUCUUCUCUCUCUUAGUUCUGUAUUCUGUGCUCUUUCACUCCUCUCUCUCAGUUCUUUACUCUGUGCUCUUUCACGCGUCUCUCAGUUCUGCACUCUGUGCUCUUUCUCUUCUCUUUCUCUUCUGUGUUCUUUGCUUCUCUGUUUCUUUCUUCCCUCAGUUCUUUCUCUCUCUUCUUUGUUCUAUGCUCUACCUUUCACUUUUUUUUCGGCACUUUCCCUCUUAACUAGAUCUGAACUCUCCCAGUUGUGCACUCUGUGCUCUCGACAUUUCUCUCUGAAUUCUGAACUCUCUGCUCUUUCCUUAUCAGUUUUAAUUCUGCAUUCUGUGUUUUUCUCCAAUUGCUCUGUUCUCUAUGCCUCUCUCCCAUUUCUGCACUCAGUGCUCUUUGCUUCUCUAGCUUAAUUAUCUUGCUCUGUGCUCUGUGCCUAUCUUUACCAAUUAUGUACUCUGUGCUCUAGACCUUUCAAUACUUUUUCUGCCUUUUCCCCUUUCCACCAGGUUCUGCACUCUGUGCGCUUUAUUCUCAAUCUUAAUUCUACACCCUGUUCCCUCUAUCUCUCUGUUGUGGGCUCUUUGCUUUAUUUCUCAGUUCUGCACUAUUUCUCAUUCUGCAAUCUGUGAUCUUUAACUUUCUCUCCUAAUUCUAAGCUGUGUGCCUUUUCACUUUUUCUCAUAGUUUUUUACUCUGUACUGUUUGCCUCUAUUUUCCAGUUCUGUACUUUGUGCUCUUGACAUUUGUCUCCCAAUCCUGCACUCUGUGCUCUUUAAUUCUGCAUUCUCUUCUCUCAAUGUUCUGUAAUCUGUGCCCGUGUUUCCUGGUGCUACAAUCUGUGCCCUUUGUCUUUCUCUCCUUCUUCAGAUCCCUGUGCUCUUGACCUCCUGGGUCUGAACAAGGUGCUCUUUCACUCCUCUCUCAGUUCUGCACACUGUGCACUUCCUCUUCUCUCUCAGUUCAGCACGCUGUGCUCUUUCUCUUCUCUCUCAGUUCUGUACUCUGUGCUCUUUCUCUUCUCUCUCAGUUCUGUACUCUGUGCUCUUUCUCUUCUCUCUCAGUUCUGUACUCUGUGCUCUUUCACUCCUCUCUCUCAGUUCUGCACUCUGUGCUCUUUCACUCCUCUUUCAGCUCUGUACUCUGUGCUCUUUCAUUCUUCUCUCUUGGUUCUGUACUCUGUGCUCUUUCACUUCUCUCUCAGUUCUGUCCUCUGUGCUCUUUCUCUUCUCUCUCUCAGUUCUGUGCUCUGUGCUCUGUGCUCUUUUGCUUCUCUCUCAGUUCUGCACUCUGUGUUCUUGACCUUUCUCUCUGUAUUCUGCACUCUGUGUUCUCUUCUUUGCUUCUUGUUCUUAAUUUGUUCUUUCUAUCCCUUCUCUCAUGGCUCUGUGUUCUGUGCUCUAGACAUUCUGCUGCUUUUUCUGCCCAAGAUCUUCGGUCUUUACUCACUCUUCCACCUCUGUGCCCUGUGCUUGAUAUCUUUCUCUCAUAGUUCAGCACCAGGUUCUUGUUUCAUGUUCUCAACACUGUACUGCUUGUUUCUGUUUCCCAGUUCUGCACUCUGUGCUAUUUUCCCUUCUCUCACUGUUUGGCUCUCUUUGCUCCUGACCUUUCUCUUCCAGUUCUGAACUCUGUGCUCUGUGCCUCUUUUUCCUAGAUCUGUACUCUGUGCCCUUUGCCUUUCAGUCUUAAUUCUGCACUCUGUUGUUUCUCUGUUUGUUUUCUGCUCUGUGCU
rnacentral:lncRNA from 1 species